rnacentral:rRNA from 1 species
UACGUAGGGUGCGAGCGUUAAUCGGAAUUACUGGGCGUAAAGCGUGCGCAGGCGGUUUUGAAAGUCAGAUGUGAAAUCCCCGGGCUCAACCGGGGAAUUGCUUGGUGAACUGCACGUCUUGAGGCAGGUAGAGGUGGUCGGAACGAUAGGUGGAGCGGUGAUAUGCUUAGAUAUCUAUCGGAACGCCAAAGGAGAAGUCAGGCCACUGGGCCUGUUCUGACGCUGAGGCACGAAAGCGUGGGUAGCGAACGGGAUUAGAUACCCCGGUAGUCCACGCCGUAAACGAUGCGCACUAGGUCGGGGAGGUUUGACGCCCUCCCGGCCGAAGCAAAAGUGUUAAGUGCGCCGCCUGGGGAGUACGGUCGCAAGGCUAAAACUCAAAGGAAUUGGCGGGGGCUCACACAAGCGGUGGAGCAUGUGGCUUAAUUCGAAGCAACGCGAAGAACCUUAUCCAGGGUUUGACAUGCACGGAUCAACCCCAUGAAAGUGGGGCCACACCCGCAAGGGCGGAACGUGCACAGGUGCUGCAUGGCUGUCGUCAGCUCGUGCUGUGAAGUGUCGGGUUAAGUCCCUCAACGAGCGAAACCCCUGUCGCUAGUUGCCAGCAGGUAAAGCUGGGGACUCUAGCGAGACUGCCGGUGUCAAACCGGAGGAAGGUGGGGAUGACGUCAAGUCCUCAUGGCCUUUAUGCCCUGGGCUGCACACGUGCUACAAUGGUGGGUACAAAACGAUGCAAGACCGCGAGGUGGAGCAAAUCGCCAAAACCCGCCCCAGUUCGGAUUGCAGGCUGCAACUCGCCUGCAUGAAGUCGGAAUCGCUAGUAAUCGCGGAUCAGCUACGCCGCGGUGAAUACGUUCCUGAGCCU